GGAAGGUGUAAAAUCAGGCUGUUUACCAAUUUUUAUUUUCUCUCUCAGUAAGAACAGGGUCUGCAAAUGAGCAAGCUUUUCUUCAAUCCAUUAAAGAAUCAGAAAUCUGUGUUUCCCACCAACAGGAAAUCGUGGACAUAGGAAGAAAGGUGACUAAAGAGCUGGCCCCCAUGUUUCCUAGACCCAUGACUGGAUCCCAG
rnacentral:lncRNA from 12 species